rnacentral:rRNA from 1 species
GAUGAACGCUAGCGGCAGGCUUAAUACAUGCAAGUCGAACGGUAACAGGUUUCUUCGGAGACGCUGACGAGUGGCGAACGGGUGAGUAACGCGUACACAAUCUGCCCUUAAGAGGGGGAUAGCCUCGGGAAACUGAGAAUAAUACCCCAUAAUAUUAUAUUUCCGCAUGGUUAUAUAAUUAAAACUUCGGUGCUUAAGGAUGAGUGUGCGUCCCAUUAGUUAGUUGGUAAGGUAACGGCUUACCAAGACGUCGAUGGGUAGGGGGCGUGAGAGCGUGAUCCCCCACACGGGUACUGAGACACGGACCCGACUCCUACGGGAGGCAGCAGUAAGGAAUAUUGGUCAAUGGAGGCAACUCUGAACCAGCCAUGCCGCGUGCAGGAUGAAUGCCCUACGGGUUGUAAACUGCUUUUAUUAGGGAAGAAAAGUCUGGAUUUAUCCGGAUCUGACGGUACCUAAGGAAUAAGCACCGGCUAACUCCG